ACUACUAUAAUGCACCAGUUUUGAAUUCAAAUUUUCAAUCCCGUCUCAUGUUCCCGCCAUGCAAUGAAGAACCACUUUUGACCAUUGAUUUUAAGGCGUGUGUUGCUAUCCACCGUACAUCAUCAUGUGUUGUCAAAAUCGAACGGCUGUAAUCCACCGGAUUCGCUCCUACUGUUCUCCCGCUCCUCCCGCGCGCUGGAACCUGGAAGCCGCUCAGCCCUUCGAGAUAGCUCCACAACCUUGCUUAUCAUAUUUUAUUCUCAAAAUGAUUGCCGGCCGCGCCCGCGCUCCAGUACCAGAUAUACUCAAUUCAUUCUUCCCGCGUACGGCACAAAACGCACCCACUCUUUGACUCUGCUGUGCUUCCGGCCUUCCGUCGCCUGCAUCUCGACGCUCACAUCCGACUAAAGCUCUACUUCCAUCGCCUUGCUAAAGUAUUACCCGCUUGGUUGCAUCUCCUAUCUGCAGUGUUGCAUAUCCAGAUUGGCUCCUCUUGACUUGGCUCUUUCCGGCGGCGCUGUCGUGUACGUACGUACGUAUACGAUCCGUAUACACCCAAGCCCGCCCUGCACAAGGCACGUUACUGGUGUGGAAAUCCAACACUGCAGGAGGAAACCACAUAUGUCUCCAGCUCGAAAUCAUCAUAUGGUUCAACCAAGCGGUGAUGUAUCAAUGGAUGCUUCUUAACGUAAACGAUACCGUGAUCGGGUUAGGUACAUGCAGAUGACAUCGGAUCAGAGAGAAAUGUAUUUGCAGAGGAAUCGGGAGUACAAACGAAUGAAGCAAGUUUCCAGUGCAAGUAGUAGCAAUGCACAAUGCGUAACAGGGGAUACCAGUAUGAAUACCCAUGGCAACCUCCACUUGCCAACUGAAUCUUCUAGAAUGAUAGAAGGUAAAGAAAUAGCAGUCACUCUGUUACAAGAAGAAGAUUUUCCAUCUUCAAGCUCUACAGUUCAAUGAUCCAUCAACCAAGGUGUUCAGCAAAGAGGAAACGAGUUACCGCAGUUGGUAGUUUCGAUGUGUCAGCAUCUGAACAACACAUCCUUCUUCAUCCAAAUAUGUGCCGCCCGAAUAAUGGUACUCGAAUGAAGAUCAGUCCAUCUGGAGUAUAUGUAUCUUCUAUUUCUUCAGAAAAUCAAGCUGCAGCCAAUGCACAAAUAUAUCACAGAAUUAGUGGCCAUGGUGGACGUAAGAUCCGAUGCACCACUAGCUGCUAUUCCCAGUUGACACCUGAACAAGGAGAGACACACUUGCAAACAAGCCGUGAGUACAAGAGAAGAAGAAAGUCUCAAGGAGUAAGUUCGAAUGGUUUACACCAUACACCUGAUGGAGUAUUUAUUAGCAAUGAACGUAUAACUGGACGUACUCCUGUGAAGCUACAA